GUGCAAUCGUUGCUCGGAAUCAUUGGGCGUAAAGCGCGCGUAGGCGGUCCAGCAAGUCGGGUGUGAAAGCCCUCGGCUUAACCGAGGAAGUGCAUUCGAAACUACUGGACUUGAGUACUGAAGAGGAUCGCGGAAUUCCCGGUGUAGAGGUGAAAUUCGUAGAUAUCGGGAGGAACACCAGUGGCGAAGGCGAUCAUCUGGGGUUGUUCUGACACUGAGGAGCGAAAGCUAGGGGAGCAAACGGG
rnacentral:rRNA from 1 species